UCCUCUUCAUCAUCGUUAUCUUCUUCCAAUUUGGUGGAUUUCAAUGGACUUUUCGGGUCGGCAGAUGGUACAUCGGAUUCAGGUUCUGGAGUAUCCACACUGCCUUUUUUUGCAACUUCCUGCAGAACUUCCUCAAGGGUCACCGGAGCUUCGACGGCGGAUAACGGAGCAGGGUCGGCGGUAAUUUCCUCUUCUUCUUCGUCUUGGUAAGUAGCCAUGAG
rnacentral:misc_RNA from 1 species